rnacentral:rRNA from 1 species
AUGAACGCUGGCGGCGUGCCUAAUACAUGCAAGUCGAGCGAACGGACGAGAAGCUUGCUUCUCUGAUGUUAGCGGCGGACGGGUGAGUAACACGUGGAUAACCUACCUAUAAGACUGGGAUAACUUCGGGAAACCGUAGCUAAUACCGGAUAAUAUUUUGAACCGCAUGGUUCAAAAGUGAAAGACGGUCUUGCUGUCACUUAUAGAUGGAUCCGCGCUGCAUUAGCUAGUUGGUAAGGUAACGGCUUACCAAGGCAACGAUGCAUAGCCGACCUGAGAGGGUGAUCGGCCACACUGGAACUGAGACACGGUCCAGACUCCUACGGGAGGCAGCAGUAGGGAAUCUUCCGCAAUGGGCGAAGGCCUGAUGGAGCAACGCCGCGUGAGUGAUGAAGGUCUUCGGAUCGUAAAACUCUGUUAUUAGGGAAGAACAUAUGUGUAAGUAACUGUGCACAUCUUGACGGUACCUAAUCAGAAAGCCACGGCUAACUACGUG